UGUAUUUAAGGGUAUCUGGGUCGAUCUACUUUUAUGUCAUUGUCUUUAGUUGUUUUAACAAUAGCCCAGGCUCAGCUUCUCAGUUAAUUGGUGUAAGUUCAAAUAUACUUCUCACCGCCAUGUUACUAAUCAGUUUUGCACCACACUGUCUCUACAUGAGGACUGUUUUAAAGAUUGAGCUUUGAUCUAAGGAUUAUUGCACGUGUUGGCUGCCCGGCUGCUGGGUGCUUGAGCACACUCCCGUGUCACCCACAGGAGUGUCCACUCCUACUACUUCUCCCACUACGGAAUAAAAGAUAUUGACCUCACAG